AUUGAACGCUGGCGGCAGGCUUAACACAUGCAAGUCGAGCGGGGUGAUGGUGCUUGCACUAUCACUUAGCGGCGGACGGGUGAGUAAUGCUUAGGAAUCUGCCUAUUAGUGGGGGACAACAUCUCGAAAGGGAUGCUAAUACCGCAUACGUCCUACGGGAGAAAGCAGGGGAUCACUUGUGACCUUGCGCUAAUAGAUGAGCCUAAGUCGGAUUAGCUAGUUGGUGGGGUAAAGGCCUACCAAGGCGACGAUCUGUAGCGGGUCUGAGAGGAGGAUCCGCCACACUGGGACUGAGACACGGCCCAGACUCCUACGGGAGGCAGCAGUGGGGAAUAUUGGACAAUGGGGGGAACCCUGAUCCAGCCAUGCCGCGUGUGUGAAGAAGGCCUUAUGGUUGUAAAGCACUUUAAGCGAGGAGGAGGCUCUUUUGGUUAAUACCCAAGAUGAGUGGACGUUACUCGCAGAAUAAGCACCGGCUAACUCUGUGCCAGCAGCCGCCGCCG
rnacentral:rRNA from 1 species